rnacentral:rRNA from 1 species
UACGGAGGAUGCAAGCGUUAUCCGGAAUGAUUGGGCGUAAAGCGUCCGCAGGCGGCUAUGUAAGUCUGCUGUUAAAGAGUCUGGCUCAACCAGAUAAAGGCAGUGGAAACUACAUGGCUAGAGUGCGUUCGGGGCAGAGGGAAUUCCUGGUGUAGCGGUGAAAUGCGUAGAGAUCAGGAAGAACAUCGGUGGCGAAGGCGCUCUGCUGGACCAUAACUGACACUCAGGGACGAAAGCUAGGGGAGCGAAUGGG